UACAGAGGGGGCAAGCGUUGUCCGGAAUCAUUGGGCGUAAAGCGCGUGUAGGCGGCUCGAUAAGUCCGCUCUGAAAGUCCAGGGCUCAACCCUGGGAUGCGGGUGGAUACUGUCGGGCUCGAGUCCGGAAGAGGCGAGUGGAAUUCCUGGUGUAGCGGUGAAAUGCGCAGAUAUCAGGAGGAACACCAAUGGCGAAGGCAGCUCGCUGGGACGUGACUGACGCUGAGACGCGAAAGCGUGGGGAGCAAACAGG
rnacentral:rRNA from 1 species